rnacentral:tRNA from 1 species
GCAGGGGUGGCAGAGCGGUCAAAUGCGCGCGGUUCAGGGCCGCGUGGCCUAGCGCCUUCAAGAGUUCAAAUCUCUUCCCCUGCA